ensembl:lncRNA
GCAGACCAUGUAAUGCAAGGCGGAUUUGGCAUCAAGAUGUACUUUUGGGGACAGAUCCUUCAGUGUGGCAGCCCUCCCCCUCUGGAAGUCUCUCCUGGCAGAGAUCUGCAACACUGUAUCACCAACACAAAUGCAAAGCAGCUUGUGACAGGGAGGUCAGCCCGGUUCCCCGGUGAGCCCGGGAUACUCCGUGCAGCCGCACAAACAAACAGAACAAACAUUUCAAGGAAAGAGAGUGAAUUGAGAUCCGUUAGCUCAGGGGGGGGCGGCGGUGUUGUUCUGCUGGUGUAGCUCACUCGCCCAAACACGGACCAAUUUACCGGAGGAAAAUUGUGCUGUGGUUGAACAAAAAUAAAAAAAUUAAAUAAAUAAAAAGCA